UUAAAUAUUUUAUAGUACUCUGACGACACUAAUUUCAGGGUUUGGUCUCUGGGGAGCGGGCUCCCCAAAGCAACAAUGUUACAAAUCACGGGUGGGAGAUCUACCCUUGCGGGCAUGAACUCUGUAAUGAUCCCUCCGCAGGUUCACCUACGGAGA
rnacentral:misc_RNA from 1 species